UACGUAGGGUGCAAGCGUUAAUCGGAAUUACUGGGCGUAAAGCGUGCGCAGGCGGUUCUGUAAGUCUGUCGUGAAAUCCCCCGGGCUUAACCUGGGAAUUGCGAUGGAGACUGCAAGGCUAGAAUCUGGCAGAGGGGGGUAGAAUUCCACGUGUAGCAGUGAAAUGCGUAGAGAUGUGGAGGAACACCGAUGGCGAAGGCAGCCCCCUGGGUCAAGAUUGACGCUCAUGCACGAAAGCGUGGGGAGCAAACAGGGAUAGAG
rnacentral:rRNA from 1 species